CGAUGAACACUAGUCGUCGGGAUGCUAGUCAUCUCGGUGAUGCACUUAACAGAUUAAGUGUUCCGCCUGGGGAGUACGGUCGCAAGAUUAAAACUCAAAGGAAUAGACGGGGACCCGCACAAGUGGUGGAGCAUGUGGUUUAAUUCGAAGAUACGCGAAGAACCUUACCUAGCCUUGACAUUGAUUGAACACACUAGAGAUAGAGUGGUGCCCUUCGGGGAACAUGAAAACAGGUGCUGCACGGCUGUCGUCAGCUCGUGUCGUGAGAUGUUGGGUUAAGUCCCGCAACGAGCGCAACCCUCGUCCUUAGUUGCUAGCAGUUCGGCUGAGCACUCUAAGGAGACUGCCUUCGUAAGGAGGAGGAAGGUGAGGACGACGUCAAGUCAUCAUGGCCCUUAUGGCUAGGGCUACACACGUGCUACAAUGGGGCGUACAGAGUGUUGCGAUACCGCGAGGUGGAGCUAAUCACUUAAAGCGUCUCUCAGUUCGGAUUGGAGUCUGCAACUCGACUCCAUGAAGCUGGAAUCACUAGUAAUCGUAGAUCAGCAAUGCUACGGUGAAUACGU
rnacentral:rRNA from 1 species